UCAUUAGUAGCUAAUAAUAGGGAAAAAAUAGGUAAUUUCCUCAACUCAUCUUUGUCUCUAGACCCUUGGUGGGAACGGGACUUUGGAGAGGAUGGUUUUAAACUUGACCAAAGGUCCCUCUUCCAGCUAAGUUCUUGCAUGUUCAAUGUUGAUAAGUUCAUGAAGUGUUUUAGUAGAAAUACAGGGUUGCCAAAUAUGUUUUCUUUUGUUUUAACAAGGAAAUAGUUGCGUACAACUAAGGGAGAAGUUGGAAGCAACAGUAAGAAAGGGAAAGGUAUGGCUUCAGAGUAGUUUCAGCUAGAUUUUCUGGUGAGCUUCUCACACCCUUAUUCUUUUCUCUUCUUUCCCUUAUUGUUCUGUCAAAUGGUGAAACUAGUAAGGAUGGUAGGAGAUGGAAGUUGAACGGUGUCGUAUGCAGAUAGCAUGCAUGGAAUAAUGUUUUUAUUCCUUGUGGUGUGG
rnacentral:lncRNA from 1 species